AUGAGGAACAAUCUCAUUCUGUUGAAUGCCAGAGAAGUUGGUAAAAGCACACAUCCUCCUUCUCAUCUGAAAGUUAAAAAGCCUCCCUCGGCAGCUGACAUUGAUAAAAACUCAUCAAAGGAAUCCGCCAAGCUCUCUGUGGGCUCUGAAGACAUCACUUAG